rnacentral:rRNA from 1 species
AGUGAACGCUGGCGGUGGGCCUAACACAUGCAAGUCGAACGGCAGCACACUAAGAGCAUGCUGUUCCGGGUGGCGAGUGGCGGAUGGGUGGGGAGUAAAUCGCAACCUACUUUUUCGUGGGGGAUAACGUAGGGAACUUUACGUUAAUACCGCAUACGUGCUACGGGUGUAGUCAGGAGAUCUUCGUACCUUGCGCAUUAGCUUGCGCCGUUGUCGAGUGAGCUAGUUGGCGGGGCAAAGGCCCACCUAGGCGAAGAGCCGUAGCUGGGCUGAGAGGAUGAGCAGCCACACUGGAACUGAGACACGGUCCAGAAUUCUACGAGAGGCAGCAGUGGGGAAUAUUGCACAAGGGGCGCAUGCCGGACCCAGCCAUACCGCGUGGGUGAGGAAGGCCUUCGGGGUGUAGAGCCCUUUUGUUGGGAAAGAAAAGCAGCAGGUUAAUAACCCGCUGUUCUGACGGUACCCAAAGAAUAAGCACCGGCUAACUUCGUG